rnacentral:rRNA from 1 species
UACGGAGGGUGCAAGCGUUAUCCGGAUUCACUGGGUUUAAAGGGAGCGUAGGUGGGUUGGCAAGUCAGUGGUGAAAUCCCCGAGCUUAACUUGGGAACUGCCAUUGAUACUAUCAGUCUUGAAUACUGUGGAGGUUAGCGGAAUAUGUCAUGUAGCGGUGAAAUGCUUAGAUAUGACAUAGAACACCAAUUGCGAAGGCAGCUGGCUACACAAUUAUUGACACUGAGGCUCGAAAGCGUGGGGAUCAAACAGG